rnacentral:misc_RNA from 1 species
GGGGUGAUGGAGUACUCCUUAAUCCCCGGCCGCCGCCUCUGAUGCAGUAUCUCGUCAUGGAUACAUGAAUGCGAGAGAUAGGUGUCUUUGUCCUCCGCUUGAUGAUCAUGCCUAUAUAGGGAGUGCUCAUGUUCCGUCGCACCAAUUCCUCCGAUCCAGAUCAGAAUCAACAAAAUCUCAAGCGCCAGAAACGCAACCGACGAGACCCCAGAUCGCCCGACGGCCCUCACCUCCAUCAAGCGGCGCCGG